UAAAAUCGGAGCAGUAAUUAAAAUAUUAUCACCAUUUGUUUGGAGUUCAGUGUAACAGACAAAAGCUUUUCCAUCUUUCAAAAUUCAGAAUCUUAGCCGGAUACCAUGUUUCUUUAUGAGUACCACCACCUUUAAAGACCUACUUCAUUGAUAGUCAAGUAUUUUCAUUUGUAAGCAUAAAAAAUGACCAGAUAACUGAAAAUGUGAGUUUAACAAACAAAAUAUUACUUAUUAUGACCAAUCCAGUUCUUCGUAGUUAGCAUAGCAAUAAGUGGUUAUAGAAGUACUGCAUAAAGUAAAGGAACUGAAGCAAAGAUUAAACAUGAAAUAAUUUUUUCCACUAACCUCAACAAGGCAACCUUCUACCAUUCCAUUCUCAAAUGCUGUCCCUGAUGCAGUUUUGUAAGCAUCUCCAGAUGCAACAGCUUCGGAGUUGGUUCCACAGUAUGAUUCAGGAACAGUGUUGAUGGUUCUGGCAGUGUCAAAUGCUCUGUGACAUCUUUGAGUCCUAGAUGAGUUCUUUCUGAUACUUUUGGCUGUACCCGAGAUACAAUCAAUAUACAGGUGUAAUUCCAGUUAGAUACCUACAUAUCAGCAUAAAGAAGUAACAUACCAGGAUUUACAGCUUUCCCCACUAUAUUUUCCCCUGGUUCAGCAGGAACAAGUGUGUUUCCACACCCCAUUCAGGAGACACAUGGAGAGUACUCCAGUAGUUUUUAGGACCAGAAUCAGCCAAUUCUCUUUUAAGGCAAAUGAUUACCAUUAGAGAUAAUAAUUACUACUUGA
rnacentral:lncRNA from 1 species